GCCCUGGUGGCUUAGCCUGGCAAAGCGCGUCCUUGGUAAGGACGAGAUCCCGGGUUCGAAUCUCGGCCAGGGCU
rnacentral:tRNA from 1 species